CUACGGGAGGCAGCAGUUGGGAAUCUUGGACAAUGGGGGAAACCCUGAUCCAGCCAUGCCGCGUGAGUGAUGAAGGCCUUCGGGUUGUAAAACUCUUUCGCGCACGACGAUAAUGACGGUAGUGCGAGAAGAAGCUCCGGCUAACUUCGUGCCAGCAGCCGCGGUAAUACGAAGGGGGCUAGCGUUGUUCGGAAUUACUGGGCGUAAAGCGCGCGCAGGCGGCUAUCCAAGUCAGUGGUGAAAGCCCGGGGCUCAACUCCGGAACUGCCAUUGAAACUGUUUAGCUUGAGUAUGAGAGAGGUGAGUGGAAUUCCCAGUGUAGAGGUGAAAUUCGUAGAUAUUGGGAAGAACACCGGUGGCGAAGGCGGCUCACUGGCUCAUUACUGACGCUCAGGCGCGACAGCGUGGGGAUCAAACAGGAUUAGAAACCCGUGUAGUCC
rnacentral:rRNA from 1 species